ACAGGUGUUGAUGCCGCACAUGUUUACACUGUGCUGAAGGGUGAAGAAGGGUUACAUGUACACAGAUUGGGAGUGCAUAUGUUUUCCUCUUGAGAUGAUUGGUUGAUCAUCCUUUAAAAGAGAACUCAGGGAAACUACAAGGAGGCACAAAAGCACAGUGUGUUCAGCUGAGCUACAUGAAAAUGUAGGUUUUUGCCAGACAAAAGAAAGGUCGACACCUCCGUCCAGGUGCAAUCAUAGACAAUUGUCAACCACAGUCAAAGGACAGAUCAAUUAGCAUUGCAGAAAGCACCGGUGGGGAAGAAACCAGCAUGGAACCUUUCUCCACAGCCUCCAUGGCAUCUUUCCCCACAGCAGGGGGCACUGAACUUUGACAAAGAUACAUUUCACAAGUUCACUGAUUAUAAAACAGAGGGACAGAGAACCCCAAGUUAUCGUUCAUAUAAGACAACAAAGGAACCAAGCACUUCGUACUUUGUGGGAGAUCCUAACCAAGAGGGUGAUCAGCCAUUUUGAUGAAAGGAGAUGUGAUAAUCUUACCUGGAACCAAGAUUGUAGUGUUGUUAA